rnacentral:tRNA from 1 species
GGGGGUGUAGCUCAGCUGGGAGAGCGGAUGGCUGGCAGUCAUCAGGUCGCAGGUUCAAUCCCUGUCAUCUCCA